rnacentral:lncRNA from 15 species
AUGUUAUUGAUAAAUUAUGUCAUAGCUCACCUGGGACUGGAGCUGCGAAAGAGAGAGCUGCAAGAGCAACGAGCAGCAACACAACACACCUUUGGAUCAUGUUGUGGUUGUUCGGCACGUCAGCGGGAUAAAAACUUCACUGGGAUGAAACUUCAGUUGUUGAGUUUCUGAACUCAACUGAAACAGAGCAGUAGCUUUUUAUACUCACACUCUCUCCUCCCUCUUUUCCCUCCCCUGUCCCUCCUCCCUCCUCCCCCCUUAAUCCAGUUCAAACACACCGUUGACUGUUUUAGAGCUCUUGUGGUUUCAGACCCAGUGUGAAUGUCUGAACCACAUUGUGAUCUGAACCACAUUCACACUGGGUACAGACUGGAUUAUUAACGAGUCAUUCAAACUAGCACUGUAACAAGCACAGGUAGACAAAGUCAUUUUAAACCACCCCUUUGUAUACAAUUUAAAUAAAAACACAAUUCUGUUUUUAAAAAAAGUAUUUGUUUUGGUGCAAAGCCAAAAGUUGACAAGAAGAGAGCAGUUUACAGAGUAGGAUUUGUUGUUUGGCUGUGAGAAAGGAAAAUGAUAUGAAAUGUGUAGAAACUUCAGUUUUUUGGUUAAUUAAGAUGUUAGUAAUCAGAACAUUGAAGUGGCCCUCCAUUGAGAGGACAAUACCGGCAGUUGCUUUAAGACAAUCUGAGAGGGCCCUGCAGUAACCGGUAUGAUUAUGAUAAAAUAAACAAUAAACAAUACAUUUAAAAGUAAACACGUCAACCAACAGUUAUAUUUUACAGAUCCUUCAGCAUAUCCAGAUCAAGGUUUGAACCAGAUUCAAACCAGUGCGUCCAGUGAAGCCUUUAAAAGAAGUAAGUGUCUGCCUGUAAACCUACUACAGACACGUUUCCUACCAGGAAAUGUUAAUAAAUAUAAACACUGUGUGUGUGUAUGCUAUGUCAGGUAUGUUGCUCUGAUUCAGGGGAGAACAGGUUGGACGGUAUUUUCCGGGAACACAAAGAGUUUGUGAGAAGGAGGCUGUGAAUUACUCACACUCAGUAACUCAGAACAACAUGUUAUUGACACAUUAACAUUCAUUAACUCAUGAAACAUACCACACCCUUUCACAUCAAACACAACUUUUAAACUUCAGGUCAAAUUUAGUAUUUCCUUAAUAUAGUUUGGUCUGACAGUUUCCAUGGUCACAGUCUGCUAAAGGUUGUUCAUCUAACCUAUUACACUAUCUGUCACAUGACAUACUGAAUAUUAAAUAGUCCCCCCAUCUUCCCUAAAGCACCAUCACUGUGAUAAGCAAAUCUCUAAUAUCCAUUUUCUUAGUAAAAACAGCUGCAUCCUUUUUUCAUAAUGUGGAUAAAUCUGGCUUCAGGACUAACCAUAGCCCUGAAACAGCUCCCAAUUAAUGAUCAAAAGAUCACCUGCUUCACCUAGCCAUGAAAGGUACAUGCGUGUAGAAGAAUAGAAUAAACUUUAUUGACCCCGAGGGGAAAUGGGUCUUGGGCAAAUUGCUACAAUUUGUUGCCUCACAGAAACAAGCAUACAUCAAUUCAAUUCAAUUCAAUUCAAUUCAAUUUUAUUUGUAUAGCGCCAAUUCAUAACAGAAGUUAUCUCAGGACACUUUUCAAAUAGAGCAGGUCUAGAC